AUUGAACGCUGGCGGCAGGCUUAACACAUGCAAGUCGAGCGGGGAAGGGUAGCUUGCUACCUAACCUAGCGGCGGACGGGUGAGUAAUGCUUAGGAAUCUGCCAUUUAGUGGGGGACAACAUUCCGAAAGGAAUGCUAAUACCGCAUACGUCCUACGGGAGAAAGCAGGGGAUCUUCGGACCUUGCGCUAAAUGAUGAGCCUAAGUCGGAUUAGCUAGUUGGUGGGGUAAAGGCCUACCAAGGCGACGAUCUGUAGCGGGUCUGAGAGGAUGAUCCGCCACACUGGGACUGAGACACGGCCCAGACUCCUACGGGAGGCAGCAGUGGGGAAUAUUGGACAAUGGGCGGAAGCCUGAUCCAGCCAUGCCGCGUGUGUGAAGAAGGCCUUAUGGUUGUAAAGCACUUUAAGCGAGGAGGAGGCUACUAGUAUUAAUACUACUGGAUAGUGGACGUUACUCGCAGGAUAAGCACCGGCUAACUCUGUGCCAGCCGCGGCUGUAACAC
rnacentral:rRNA from 1 species